UUGAGCAAUGGCGUGACGCAGGAGGAUAGGGUGAGCGGCCUAUUGGAUGGCCGUCUAAGCAGUAAGUGUGGUGUGUAGGCAAAUCCGCACACCAAUAAGCACAAGCUGUGAUGGCGAGGGAAAUAUAAGUACCGAAGUCCCUGAUUUCACACUGCCAAGAAAAGCGUCUAGCGAGGAACAAGGUGCCCGUACCGCAAACCGACACAGGUAGGCGAGGAGAGA
rnacentral:rRNA from 1 species